rnacentral:misc_RNA from 1 species
CAACCAUCAAGCGCCCCGCUUGUGUUGGGGCCCUGCGGCUGCCGCAGACCCCUAAAUCCAGUGGCGGGCUCGUCGUCGUACCGAGUGCAGUAAACAUCCUCGCUCAGGGAACGCCGCGGGUCCCUUGCCGUGAAACACCCCCCAUAUCAA